GGCAUGCAGUCGAACGAAUCCCACCUGGGCAACUGGGUGGGGGAAGUGGCGAAAGGGGCAGUAAGGCGUGGGUAACCUCCCCCGGGGACCGGCAUAGCCCUCCUAACGGAGGGGUAAUUCCGGGUAAUAUGAUCUGCUCGCAUGGGCGGGUCAUGAGAUGAGUUUCGCCUCGGGACGGGCUCACGUGGUAUUAGCUGGACGGCGGGGUAACGGCCCACCGUGGCAAAGAUGCCUAGCAGGUGUGAGAGCACGACCUGCGCCACUGGCACUGAGACACUGGCCAGACUCCUACGGGAGGCUGCAGUCGAGGAUCUUCGGCAAUGGGCGCAAGCCUGACCGAGCGACGCCGCGUGUGCGAUGAAGGCCUUCGGGUUGUAAAGCACUGUCGAGGGGGAGGAAAGCCGCAAGGCCUGACCUAUCCCUGGAGGAAGCACGGGCUAAGUUCGUGCCAGCAGCCGCGGUAAGACGAACCGUGCGAACGUUGUUCGGAAUCACUGGGCUUAAAGGGCGCGUAGGCGGCUCGUCCAGUCGGGGGUGAAAUCUUUCGGCUCAACCGGAAAAGGGCCCCCGAUACUGACGGGCUCGAGCGAGGUAGGGGCAAGGGGAACUUCCGGUGGAGCGGUGAAAUGCGUUGAUAUCGGAAGGAACGCCGGUGGCGAAAGCGCCCUGCUGGACCUCACCUGACGCUGAGGCGCGAAAGCCAGGGGAGCAAACGGGAUUAGAUACUGAUGUGUCCCCCACCUGGGCAACCAGGUGGUGCGCAUCCGGCUAUAUCGGGGGAACUCUCGCACUCGCGAGACAAUCCCGACGGAAGUCGUCCUCUUCGGAGGAUGACCCGCUAGAGACUACACGCCGGA
rnacentral:rRNA from 1 species